rnacentral:ribozyme from 1 species
AUUAUGGUAAAAUGAGACUAUGGGGGCAACUAGGAUUUGGACUAGGAUCAAGUGGGGUAGGAAUAUUACUUUCUAAAUCCAGAGGUGCUGUUCAAGAUUAUGGGGAACUUGACAUUUCUGAGCACUGGCCAACUGCUGCAAGGAUAACCGCACAAACGUUGUACAAAUUAUGGAUGAAUAUAACUGGGUACAGACUCUUAUUCUUC